rnacentral:rRNA from 1 species
UGGGGAAUCUUAGACAAUGGGCGCAAGCCUGAUCUAGCCAUGCCGCGUGAGCGAUGAAGGCCUUAGGGUUGUAAAGCUCUUUCGUGGGGGAAGAUAAUGACUGUACCCCAAGAAGAAGCCCCGGCUAACUCCGUGCCAGCAGCCGCGGUAAUACGGAGGGGGCUAGCGUUGUUCGGAAUUACUGGGCGUAAAGCGCACGUAGGCGGACUGGAAAGUCAGGGGUGAAAUCCCGGGGCUCAACCCCGGAACUGCCUUUGAAACUCCCAGUCUUGAGGUCGAGAGAGGUGGGUGGAAUUCCGAGUGUAGAGGUGAAAUUCGUAGAUAUUCGGAGGAACACCAGUGGCGAAGGCGGCCCACUGGCUCGAUACUGACGCUGAGGUGCGAAAGCGUGGGGAGCAAACA